GAACCUCAUUGCUACAGUUUUUGUGUUUGCUGUUGUUAUAUAUUUCCAAGGAUUUCGCGUUGAUCUGCCCAUUAAGUCGGCCCGCUACCGAGGACAGUACAGCAGCUACCCCAUCAAACUCUUCUACACCUCCAACAUCCCCAUCAUCCUCCAGUCGGCCUUGGUGUCAAACCUGUAUGUGAUUUCCCAGAUGCUGUCUGUUCGAUUUAGCGGCAACUUUUUAGUAAACUUACUAGGACAGUGGGCCGUGAGUAUUAUGUUUAUUUAUAUUAUUUACAGUUUAUUAUAAUUUGCAUUUUAUGGUCGUAUUGUUAAUGGAAUGAGGUCGACAUUGGAGCAUUUGCUAUAUUUUCAGAUUCACUUACCUAUAUAGCAGAGUUUAGUACUUAUCUGGAAGAACUGGUAAGUGUUGCAGAAGUAAGAUGGC
rnacentral:sRNA from 1 species